ACCUCUGGAAGAGCCGGCGGACGGGGUGGUCGGGCGGCAAGAUCAGGGGGGCCUCAUUCUUCCGCUUCAUGCGCUCCUCCUCCUCCCGUUUCACGUCACUGAUCUUCCGGAACACGAUCUGCAGGGAGACACAGCAACAAGCCCUGUUAAGCCAGCUGUGGCGCCAGACCACCUGACCCGCCUCCUGAGAAACCUGUGCGCAGGUCAAGAAGCAACAGUUAGAACUGGACAUGGAACAACGAGCUGGUCCCCAGUUGGGAAAGGAGUACAUCAAGGCUGUAUUCUGUCACCCUGCUUAUUUAACUUCUAUGCCGAGUACAUCAUGUGAAAUGCCGGUCUGGAUGAAGCACAAGCUGGAAUCAAGAUUGCAGGGAGAAAUAUCAAUAACCUCAGAUAUGCAGAUGACACCAGCCUUAUGGCAGAAAGAAGAGGAACUAAAGAGCCUCUUGAUGAAAGUGAAAGGGGAGAGUGGAAAAGUUGGCUUAAAGCUCAGCAUUCAGAAAACUAAGAUCAUGGCAUCCGGUCUCAUCACUUCAUGGCAAAUAGAUGGGGAAACAAUGAGAGACUUUAUUUUCUUGGGCUCCAAAAUCACUGCAGAUGGUGACUGCAGCCAUGAAGUUAAAAGAUGCUUGCUCCUUGGAAGAAAAGCUAUAACCUAAACAGCAUACUAAAAAGCAGAGACAUCACUGCUGACAAAGGUCUGUCUGGUCAAAGCUGUGGUUUUUCUAGCAAUCAUGUACAGAUAUGAGACUUGGACCAUAAAGAAAGCUGAGUGCUGAAGAAGUGAUCCUUUUAAACUGUGGUGCUGGAGAAGACUCUCAAGAGUCCCUUGGACAGCAAGGAGAUCAAACCAGUCAAUCCUAAAGGAGAUCAGUCCUGAAUAUUCAUUGGAAGGACUGAUGCUGAAGCUCCAAUGCUCUGACCACCUGAUGUGAAGCACUGACUCAUUGGAAAAGACCCUGAUGCUGGGAAAGAUUGAAGGCAGGAGGAGAAGGGGACGACAGAGGAUGAGAUGGUUGGAUGGCAUCACCGACUCAACGGGCAUGAGCAUGAGCAAGCUCCAGGAGACAGUGAUGGACAGGGAAGCCUGGCGUGCUGCAGUCCAUGGCGUCGCAAAGAGUCAGACAGGAAUGGGCGAGUGAACAACAGCACUGGUCCAGGCACCAGUGAUGGGCAUCAGGAACAUAUGGUCCAUGCAGACUCAGAGUCUCAGCGGGUGCGGGGCUCCCAGAGAGACCGAGGCCAGUCCAGCUGAACCUUCAACACAAAUAGCGGCCAGUACCAACCAGGUGCUCAACGAAGGACCAGAUAUCAGGCUAAGCACCUUGUCAGCAUCAGUAACCCACUCCUCACAGCCACCCAGUGACGUGGGCACGGAAGUCAUUCACCCAGGCAAGUCUGCACCCGAUGUACACUGGGUAUUCUCUGUAGUUUGUGCUUCUUACCAUCAAAAGAGGACAAUAGCUAAGAAAAGAGCCACCCGUCUUCUGGUUGGUUGCAUUCUCUCAGUUUUUUCUGUAUUAAAGAAUCUGAUACAAAACACAUGUUUGUAUAGCUGUAAUUCUACUCUUAAAAAAAUAGUUGCUUUCCACCACAAUGGACAAGCAAUUGAGAAUUCUGACAACUUGCAUGUUACUGAAGAGUUGGCUCUGAUGUGAGUGUCAUUGUCCUUUGUGAUCUGUGACACUCAUCACUUGAGCCAGAUCACACCAUUCCACACACAAAGCACUGGAGCAAAUAAUUUGAUUCAAGCAGUUGUCUAGUUUUGAAACGUGGCAGUUCUAACAGUGUCACUGGUUUAUUCUAGGGUUUGACUCCCCCAAUCAAUAAUUUUCUGUUGCACUGUAAAAAUCCCCGUUUCCCAUAGUAGGACGCUGACUCUAGAGCGAUCAAAUGCAUGAGCC